CUUUCUCUUGCUGUUCUUUGAUGAUUUUGUUAGUCUCCAGUGCAAGUCGCUUCUGAUGCAUUAACUCCUGGCGUUCUUGCUCACGAAGAUGUGCUUCUCUCUGCUUCUCUUCUUCAGUCAUGAAAAGUUCCUUUCCAGCGCCUGCCACUACAGAGAUAGUCAAAGUACGGCUACUUUUGAGUACUCUGACAGCCUCUUUAUGAUCCACAUUUGAA
rnacentral:lncRNA from 1 species